GCCUGGUGUCCUCCUUCAUCCCAGGCUGCCAGGCUAGGCAGGGGGCAGCGGCUGCCCUGGUCCUCACAGCCCUGGCUGCGGGGCUGGUGACAGCCAGAUCCUCAUGCUUCUGUGACCAGAGCGCUGCCUUCAGACACCUCUCUGCUGGCGUGUUCCUGGGUCCAUGAUGGAAGAAGGAAAAGUAUUUUUAAAAGACAAUCUAAAGCUCACACUGUGACUGCAACAUAAAAUGUGUUCACCUGAGGAGACUGCUUUCACCGUGAGUGUGUCACAGGGCAGCUGAUCCAGGACCGUCCACUUCCAAGCCAGCAGGAGGAUGGAAAAACAGAAUGGAGGGGAAACAACCUCCUUUGCAGGGCGUGACUCGGAAGUUGGACACAUCAUUUCCAGCCACAUUCCAUGGACCAGAAUUAGCCCUGUGACCAACUCUGGCUGCCAGAAAGUCUGGGAAAUACAGUCUCUGCUUGGGCGAUCA
rnacentral:lncRNA from 1 species